GACGAACGCUGGCGGCGUGCUUAACACAUGCAAGUCGAGCGGUAAGGCCCUUUCGGGGGUACGACGAGCGGCGAACGGGUGAGUAACACGUGGGUGGCCUGCCCUCAGCUCUGGGAUAAGCCUGGGAAACCGGGUCUAAUACCGGAUAUGACUCCAUGACGCAUGUUGUGGGUGGAAAGCCUUGUGCGGCUGAGGAUGGGCCCGCGGCCUAUCAGCUUGUUGGUGGGGUGAUGGCCUACCAAGGCGACGACGGGUAGCCGGCCUGAGAGGGCGACCGGCCACACUGGGACUGAGACACGGCCCAGACUCCUACGGGAGGCAGCAGUGGGGAAUCUUGCGCAAUGGGCGAAAGCCUGACGCAGCGACGCCGCGUGAGGGAUGACGGCCUGG
rnacentral:rRNA from 1 species